AGUGGAAUUAGGACUGGUAUCCGACUGGCACAAGGAGCCCAGAUAAAUAUCAAAUUAAAAUCAGAGAUGCCUGUACAAAUGGAUGGUGAACCUUGGAUGCAGCCUCCGGGUAAUGUGAUCGUGCGGCCCAUACUAACACAGGCACUGAUGCUUUCAAAGAGAAAAGUUAAAGUGAACAACCUAAGAAGACCUUCAAGCUCGCCUCGUCCUCUGUCAAGCCCC